rnacentral:rRNA from 1 species
GACGAACGCUGGCGGCGUGCCUAAUACAUGCAAGUAGAACGCUGAAGGAGGAGCUUGCUCUUCUGGAUGAGUUGCGAACGGGUGAGUAACGCGUAGGUAACCUGCCUGGUAGCGGGGGAUAACUAUUGGAAACGAUAGCUAAUACCGCAUAACAGUAGAUGUUGCAUGACAUUUACUUAAAAGGUGCAAUUGCAUCACUACCAGAUGGACCUGCGUUGUAUUAGCUAGUUGGUGGGGUAACGGCUCACCAAGGCGACGAUACAUAGCCGACCUGAGAGGGUGAUCGGCCACACUGGGACUGAGACACGGCCCAGACUCCUACGGGAGGCAGCAGUAGGGAAUCUUCGGCAAUGGACGGAAGUCUGACCGAGCAACGCCGCGUGAGUGAAGAAGGUUGUCGGAUCGUAAAGCUCUGUUGUAAGAGAAGAACGAGUGUGAGAGUGGAAAGUUCACACUGUGACGGUAUCUUACCAGAAAGGGACGGCUAACUACGUG